rnacentral:rRNA from 1 species
AUGGCAAAAUUUUGGUGGGGGAGUUCUAUUGACAGGAGGUCUCUCCAUUGGAUUGCAUGGGACAAACUUGCUACACCAAAAUGUAACGGCGGAAUGGGCUUUCGAGAUCUUUAGACCUUUAACUUGGCACUGCUAGGGAAGCAUGGUUGGCUCUUCAUGAUGAACCCGAAUUCCCUAUGUGCCAGGGUUAUGAAAGGAAGAUACUUUCCCGACUCAGACUUCAUGCACGCCUCGAUACCGAACUCCUCCUCUGCGACGUGGAGAGCAAUUGUGGCAGGUCAUGAAGCUUUGCAGGCGGGGCUGGUGAAGCGGGUCAGCGAUGGAUCUUCCAUCUCAAUUUGGGAGGACAAGUGGAUCCCUUCUACGGUCACAAUGUCCCCAUUUGUUACAUCCAGCAAGUGCGACAGUACACACUGUCAAUGA